AAGAUGAAGAGAAAAAAAAAGAAAAAGGUUGAAAGGAUGUGGUUCACACCUUGAUGUCAGUGAUGUCACAUCACCUACUACCUACUGUACAGAAUCAUGCUCCAACCUGAGGUUAGGAUUUGUCAGUCUACAACAUUCUUUCACUUAAAUAAACGCCGAAUGUUUCUGUAAAUGUCGUUAUUUACGGCGGUAAAAUAAAUGGACACAGUCCAAAAGUGAAGCUUCAAGUUUAGGAAACUCAACAGAUACUAGUUGGACAGGAUGUCCUGGGGUGGCCAGGGAUGACAGAAUCUGAAGUUUCCCAGAAACAAGAGCAGUGCUGCCUAGAUAUAAAUAAGAGCUAGAACAAACAAGGUUAAAAAACAUUUCUAUGGCAGAGCCAUACUUCCAUUAAAUCUCUAAGUAAUCUUUGUCAUACAUAAAUAACCUGGAAGUUGUGCAAUUACUACAGACUGUAAAUGUGGCGUGCUUUAGGUUUGAUGAGUGAUAUGUAUUAUUAUUAUUUUAGCAAACUCUUGAUAAUACACUAGUUGAAUUUAUUAUGCUCAUGCACUUUAAGGAUUUCACUUUGAAUUUGACACUCGAUGACGUUGUUACAUGUUGUCUUUGUUUGAGCUACUAAAUAAAACACAAAGUUCACGGCAACACUUUGUUGUUGUGAAUGUGUGUUCAACUUUUUCUUCAAGUAUUUUUGUCUCCCACACCAAUGUCCAUAGAGAACAUUAUUGAUUUUACAUUUACAACACAUUGUAGAUCCAUAUUAAAAAGUACAACGUGCAUGUCAGUAUGUGUUUCAUCAUGUUAUCUUGUAAUACUCAAUCUACAGCAUCCACAUCAGUAGUAAAGCUGUUAACAACAACAGUUUUUAUUGGUUGAAUGUCAAUUCAUGCUUUUGUGUUUUGACUUGUCUGACAGACUAGGUAACAGUACCGGAAGCUAGUGAGGAAGACUCUAAAAAAAAAAAACAGGGUAUCUGAGGAAAUUAGUGUUUAAAGCAGAUGUGAAAAACAUCUCACAUCACUGACUUCAUUUUCAUUUCUUCAUUUGCUUAACUUCUGCUCUUCCGCAAACAUUAUGUGCCAAGUUAACAUCUUAGACAGAAGUGGUGAAAAAAAAGAAGCUAGACUUUAUUUUGGAAGGCAACACGUUCUUUUAGAACAUGGACAUGUUUGUCGUUCAGUUUGACACUGUUGUUGAGUUAAAAUGACGGAGAGUUAGUCCUGAAAGAACAUCCCUUCAAUCAGGGUAUGAUCACCUUCUGUAUGUGUGGUCUGCCUUCAGUGUUUAGUGAUAACAGUACUAGUGUUAGUAACAGUGGCAGCAGGAUGUGGGUGAGAGUGGUGAACGACUGGUUAUGUGAUUGCAUUCUUUACCUUCCAGAUCGUCGAUGGUCUUCUCCAGCUUGGCCACAGAUCUUUCUGCAAACUCUGCACGGGUCUCAGCCUGCAACACAAAACCAUGCAACACGUCAGACAAGUCAGCAGAGGAGCACAAGCACAGAACAACACCAUCAGCACACAAGUGUGACCUGCUCACAGAGGUG